CGGGUUGUAAAGCUCUUUCGGCCGGGAAGAAAUCGUGGUCUCUAACAUAGGCCAUGGAUGACGGUACCGGACUAAGAAGCACCGGCUAACUACGUGCCAGCAGCCGCGGUAAUACGUAGGGUGCGAGCGUUAAUCGGAAUUACUGGGCGUAAAGCGUGCGCAGGCGGUUUUGUAAGACAGAUGUGAAAUCCCCGGGGCUUAACCUGGGAACUGCGUUUGUGACUGCAAGGCUAGAGUACGGCAGAGGGGGGUGGAAUUCCUGGUGUAGCAGUGAAAUGCGUAGAGAUCAGGAGGAACACCGAUGGCGAAGGCAGCCCCCUGGGCCUGUACUGACGCUCAUGCACGAAAGCGUGGGGAGCAAACAGGAUUAGAUACCCUGGUAGUCCACGCCCUAAACGAUGUCGACUAGUCGUUCGGAGCAGCAAUGCACUGAGUGACGCAGCUAACGCGUGAAGUCGACCGCCUGGGGAGUACGGCCGCAAGGUUAAAAACCUCGAAAGGAAUUGACGGGGACCCGCACAA
rnacentral:rRNA from 1 species